rnacentral:rRNA from 1 species
AUUGAACGCUGGCGGCAUGCCUUACACAUGCAAGUCGAACGGUAACGCGGGGCAACCUGGCGACGAGUGGUGAACGGGUGAGUAAUACAUCGGAACGUGCCCAGUAGUGGGGGAUAGCCCGGCGAAAAGCCGGAUUAAUACCGCAUACGACCUACGGGUGAAAGCAGGGGAUCGCAAGACCUUGCGCUAUUGGAGCGGCCGAUGUCAGAUUAGGUUGUUGGUGGGGUAAAAGCCUACCAAGCCGACGAUCUGUAGCUGGUCUGAGAGGACGACCAGCCACACUGGGACUGAGACACGGCCCAGACUCCUACGGGAGGCAGCAGUGGGGAAUUUUGGGACAAUGGGCGCAAGCCUGAUCCAGCCAUGCCGCGUGCGGGAAGAAGGCCUCGGUUGUAA